UUGGUCUUCGGAGCAGUCAGGAGGCAUGGCUUUUGCUGAACGCGACGUGUUGUCUUCCAAGACAAGGUCCUCGGAGUGGACGAGGUUCACCUCAUAUAAUGGGGGAAACGUGACAAAGGGAAGGCCUUCAGGUAUUGUUUUGGCAAGCUAGGAGAACACAUCUGACAGACAAAAAGGUUUCAUCAAAGACACACAGACAGCUCCUGAAGUAAAGGACCUACACAGGACCUUCAUAUCAAGGACAUUGACUGUGU